GUGGUUGUUGUGAGAGGAGUGGAAUUGCCAAGAUCCAUAGUAAUUGCAAUCUAAUUGUAUACCAAUUGAUCAACCACUGGCCAACUUUCUUUCUCUACUCUUAUUUAUUUCUUUAUUUAUUUAUUGGGUUUCACUAUAUAUAUAUAUGAUUAGAGAAGAUUGGUUGAGUAAAUCACCUGCCCAUAAGGUUUCUAAGCAAAAUUCAGUUGAUAGUUCUGA